AGUGAACGCUGGCGGUAGGCCUAACACAUGCAAGUCGAACGGCAGUACAGAGGAGCUUGCUCCUUGGGUGGCGAGUGGCGGACGGGUGAGGAAUACAUCGGAAUCUACUCUGUCGUGGGGGAUAACGUAGGGAAACUUACGCUAAUACCGCAUACGACCUACGGGUGAAAGCAGGGGACCUUCGGUCCUUGCGCGAUGGAAUGAGCCGAUGUCGGAUUAGCUAGUUGGCGGGGUAAAGGCCCACCAAGGCGACGAUCCGUAGCUGGUCUGGGAGGAUGAUCAGCCACACUGGAACUGAGACACGGUCCAGACUCCUACGGGAGGCAGACGUGGGGAAUAUUGGACAAUGGGCGCAAGCCUGAUCCAGCCAUACCGCGUGGGUGAAGAAGGCCUUCGGGUUGUAAAGCCCUCUUGUUGGGAAAGAAAUCCAACUGGCUAAUACCCGGUUGGGAUGACGGUACCCAAAGAAUAAGCACCGGCUAACUUCGUGCCAGCAGCCGCCGUAA
rnacentral:rRNA from 1 species